rnacentral:rRNA from 1 species
GACAGAGGGUGCAAACGUUGUUCGGAAUUACUGGGCGUAAAGCGCGUGUAGGCGGUCUCGCAAGUCGGAUGUGAAAGCCCAGGGCUCAACCCUGGAAGUGCACUCGAUACUGCGAGGCUAGAGUCCCGGAGAGGAUGGUGGAACUCUCGGUGUAGAGGUGAAAUUCGUAGAUAUCGAGAAGAACACCGGUGGCGAAGGCGGCCAUCUGGACGGUGACUGACGCUGAGACGCGAAAGCGUGGGAAGCAAACAGG